rnacentral:rRNA from 1 species
UGGGGAAUAUUGCACAAUGGAGGGAACUCUGAUGCAGCGACGCCGCGUGAGUGAUGAAGGAAUUCGUUUCGUAAAACUCUGUUCUAUGGGAAGAAAAGGACUGUACCAUAGGAGAAAGCUCCGGCUAAAUACGUGCCAGCAGCCGCGGUAAUACGUAUGGAGCGAGCGUUGUCCGGAAUUAUUGGGCGUAAAGGGUGCGCAGGCGGCUUUACAAGUUGGAUGUGAAAUAUUGUGGCUCAACCACAAACGUGCAUCCAAAACUGCAAAGCUUGAGUUAAGGAGAGGUAAGUGGAAUUCCUGGUGUAGCGGUGGAAUGCGUAGAUAUCAGGAGGAAUACCGGUGGCGAAGGCGACUUACUGGACUUAAACUGACGCUCAGGCACGAAAGCGUGGGGAGCAAUCAGG